ACUUCUCAGCAGGCUGCCAAUUGCUUCUGCUAAAAGUGCAUGAAUAAAAAUAAUCAGAAAUCACACUGACCUUUCAUUUGGUCAUUCUUUCUAAUGAUUUUAUAUGCUUAUAAAAUGUCAAAAUCAUUUGUUUGGAUCACAGAACAGCAAAUGGCAAGGAGUAGAAAACAGAAAACACUUUUGUAACUGUGGUCGUUUCACCAUGAGUCGCAGUUAAACUCCAUCAGAAUCAUUCUGUCACCUCUUCUCAAAGAAACAAGGAGAAAAUGCAAGGAAAAAAAAAAGUCUUCACAGUUAGAGAUAAGGACAGGGGAUCACUUACCAAUUGAACAGAAAAGGGAAAAACAGAACCACUACUUCAUAGUCAUUAUCUGCUCCUGCUCCACUGUGGGUUCCCUCCCUUGGGAUGCCACCCUUUCCACACUCCCCACAGGCUGCAGAUCCAGCCCAGAGUGCUCCUGCAGGGGUAUCCAUUCCUCCUUCAGGCCUCAUCCCUUCCACACCAUGGGCUCUUACAUGGCUGCACGGGCAGAUCUGCUCUGUGCAGUGCCCUUGGGCUUCAGGGGAUGGUCUCCUCCUCCAUGGCCCUCUCCUGAGAUGCAGGGAGCUGCUGCUUUGUGCCUGAAGUUCCUCCUGCCCUCCUUCUGCACUGACCUUGGUGUCCACAGGGCUACUCUCUCAUAUCCCUCAACCCUCUCUUCUAGCUGUUGUUCUGUGGCAUUACUUCACUUCCUUAUAUAUGCUCUACUAGAGUACACCCAGUGUUGCUCACAGCUCAGUUCUGGCAGCAGUGGGCCCGUGUUGGAGCAGCUGGAGCUCUGAUCUGACAUGGGUCAGAGCUGGGCUUUGCUCACAGAGGCUGCCCUGCAGCAUCCCCUGUAUCAAAGCCUUGUCACCUAAGCCCAGUACAGUAAUUUAGUUGUUCUUUCAUUUUGAUGUGAACUGAACUCAUUGUUCACAGUAACACAAAUUCACAUCAGUAAUGCUCAUCAUUAAAAAAUUAUAACUGAGUGUUCUGAAAGAAAAAUUAGGUGAAAGUCUCCUAGUGGCGCAUGUGAAACGUGCCAUGAACUCCAAAAAUGCAGCAGGGAGUUCCAAAGAUGUAAUAGUAUUUGGAGAGUUUAUGUAAUUAUUUCCUCAAUAUAGUAAUAGCUGACACUACUGGCUAUGGUAAGAUAUGUUUCAAAUGUAAGAGCAGUCUUCAGAUAAUCAAAAAGCUGAAAAUACAAGGCCUUUCUACUGCCUGAUUUUAUCAGCAUGAUAACUUUUUCCACUGUGAUUUCAUUCUUGACUUGUCUGCGUUCGGUACUACCUACUACACAGACAGAGCAGUCUUCCCUCCUAGAAUAAGUCUUAAAAAAAUCAUUCAGUAAGUCACUGAUUUACAGAAUUAUUAUAUGUUUUCUCUGCUUUAACUGUUGCCAUUUGGGAUUUUGCUAGAAAAUUUUGCUUUGAAUUGGACACUCUGAAUAGAUGUGCCCCCUUCAGCCAUGUGGAAAAAGAUAAAUAGAAAUCUACAUAAAUAAAUGAGUACUGAAAUAAAUAGCAAUAGAUCUAAUUGUUUCCAUGAUAUGAAAAAAUAUUUUUAAAAAUGAUGUUAUUUAGUGAAUGAAGUAGGAAAAUCUUUCUUGUUUUUAUUGUCAGAUUACAUGGAAAAAAAUUGUUUGUUACUUGAGAGCUCAGUGUAUGGAGUGACCACAAAAUAAGUACACAGAGUUCAGCAGCAAUUCUUCUAUAGAUGCUCUGGAACAAAUGGUUCCUGUUUUACAAUGCUGGCCCACAAUACCAGAGGCAGAUGUUAGCACCAUGGCAGUAGAGACUGAACCUUCCUGACAUUAUAGCACCACAUUUUGUUGCUGUGUGAUAGAUAGCAGCAGAGGAACAGUCUGACAAAAUGGUGUCUGACAUGGAAGUGUGAAUGAAGCAAAGGUGUGGAAUUAAAUACCUCAAUGCAGAAAAAAAAAAAAAAUGGCACCUGUUGAUAUUCAUCAACAUUUGCUGAAUGCUUAUGGAGACCAAACAGUGGAUGUGAGCACAGUGAGGCCCUGGGUGGUGCAUUUCAGCAGUGGUGACAGCAACAUGUCUCUCUUCUGCUGGUGUAGAUAGUUAUGAAUGUAGCAUGCAGGCACCUGUUCACCACUGGUGAAAACAUAUAGCUAGUGGUGGUGACUAUGCUGAAAAAAAAUAUAUAUAACUUUAUAACUGAGAUUUUGCUCUAUGUAACAAUGUUAUUGUGCUCUUAGUAUCUGUUGUAGUUUCCUCGGAAAUAAAUAGGAGGCAUUACUUUUGGAGAAACCUAUGUAUCUUGAACACAUCUUGGGAGAACUCCCCUUCUGCUGGAUUGUACCUCAGAGAGAAUAAAUAAAGCAUCUCUUCUGCAUAGAUGAUCCUGAGUUACAUGUUGCAAAUUUCCCAUAAAAAUGCAGCUGAUUUUUAUUUAAUUAUCCUGGUUAUCAUCAUAACUCCUGACUUUGUUUACUGUUAUUGUGGUUCUACUUCCAACUGGAAAAAAAAUCAUAGCUGGAGUAAUAUGAGGAAAGGAAGAAACUGGGGCCUGAAUGUAUGAUGUAAAUGAUUGUCAACAAUCAGAUUCAAAGAGAUAGAUUUUAUCCCAACAUUCCUAAACAUAAUUUUCUCAAUAUAUGCAGGAGAAAAAUGUAUUCAACUUCAUCAGCAGCAGAUAGCAUGAGGGAUGGAAAUAAAAUUGGAGUCUUACAGAUAAUGAACAAAUAAUAGUUAUUGUAAAAUGUUUUGUUAUUCAAAUUCUAUCAAUUUAAUUAUUUUAAUGGUAGUCAAAUACCCAAAUACUUUCAGAAAUCUGUCCAAGAAAUACUAUGCUGUAUAAUCAGGUACAGCUGACAGGAAUGAAUUAGCAUAUUUGCUUGAAUAAAUUUCAAGUUAUUGUUGCACUGUGAAUUUCUGCAGUCGGAUGCUUUUAAUGAACCUGAGAUUUAUAAUACAAAGAGGACACAUAAAUGAAAACAAGGUUACAUGUUAGAGGAGAAAAAAAGUUAACAACACAUAAAAUGACUACAGAGCCUGAUUUAAAGUAUGACCUUUCUCUCAAGCUUCCUGUCCACCCACACACCCCACAGGCAAUGCUACAACACCAGACCAUCAGGGUGGAUAACCCAGCACAGCGGUCAGCCCGCACAAGGUGUGGGAAAAUACUAAACGUAACCCAAGAGCUGGUUAGACGCUUAGUUGUCUUAGUUUUUACUUAAAGAAAAGCUGUUUAGGUUCAUUAUUUCAAUGCAUAAAAAAAAAAGAAACAAAAGAGGUGGGGGGAAGGGGCUAGUUGUAGCACUAAAUGUUAUGACUAUAACAUAUAAUAACAUAUUAUAUAUAUAUAUAUGUUAUUAUAUAUAUAUUAUAUAUGUUUAUAUAUAUAUAUUAUAUAUAUAUAAUAACAUUCAAUAAAAGUGUCUUCAGGUUACUUCAGGAAAUAAAUAAUCUUGUUUAUAACCACAUCCAUCUAACUGAUGUUUUCCCUUCCUUCUAGUUACUCUACAAUCAUAGAGCGGCUUGAGUUGAAAGGGAUCUCAAAGAUCAUCUAGCUUCAAUUGAUCAGCCAUGGAAAGAGUUGCCAACCACUAAAUCAGUCACUAGAUCAAUCUGCCCAGGGCCUCAUCCAACUUGACCUUGAAUAUCUCUAGGCACAGGGAAGUCACUUAUCUGAGUAUAGUUUUCCAGCACCUCACCAUCCUCCCAGUGAAAAAUGAAAUCCCGACAUCUGAUCUAAGCCUCUCCCUCUUGUCCUAUCAGCCUCUACCAUGUAAACAUUUGAUUCUCCUCCUUCUUCUUCAAGACCAAUUUAGAGAGAAAAAUAAGCAUGGGAUUGGAGAUUUUAAGGUGGUUCAAAGAGACAGAAGGCAGCAAUACAAAGUAACCAAGGCUACAGCUAUUCCUCAGGAAGUGAAGAAACAGUCAUCUCCUGGACAAUUUUUGGCAAUCAGUCUAUUGAGAGUGCGGAUCACUCUCAGUACAGCUGUUUGGAUGAAACCACAUUCUUACAGAGAUAAGAGAGCUUUGUAUUAUGGUUGUAGUUCUUCCUUGCCAGCUGGGCUCUUUGUGAAGAGAUAACCCCAAACAUAUUUAAGGAUUACAAUACACGGGAGGAUCAGAAUUAAGAGAGGAUUUCUCACUUAAUUAUCCAACUCCGGAUAAUUCAGAAGAGAUAACAAGAAACAGCCUAGGAUAGAGGAAACAUAGCCUUAAGUUCUGAAAUGGAGAAGCAGAUGAAAGCUGGAACUCACUCAUCAGACACAUAUGCUGUACCACCUGCUCGUUUGUGCAAAAGAGAAAUAGGAUGAGCACCAACUUCUCUGGGAAAUUAGCUUUUGUGCUUUCUUUAUAAAUAUCCAACAAGAACAGUGGAACAUGUAGUGCCAAAGCAAAUAGUUGCCAUUGCUUUCCUUUUCACUCCCCAAUUCUGCAUCUGAUUGGAAUAUCUGAAUAUGGAUUUUGAGUCUUGCAUACACCGAGUGAAUCUGCAGCCUUGUUCCCGCUCUGCACUACACCACUGCUAUUCCUGUGCUUUGCUGCCCAAUCUUGCUGACCCUUGCCUUGUAACUUUCAGACUAGGACCUACUUUGUCACUGCAGACUUGAUUGGCCACCAUGGGCUGUUGCCCAAACCUGGCUUCUGUCACUGGUCCUGUUCCCAUGGUCCAAGUACUGACAGACUGCACAGUGGCUGGUCAGGACGUUGGUUCUUUGUGCCUCGGUGGUUCUGGCAUGUGAUUUUCCUCAUAUAGAAGUAAGGGAGCAGCAAGGUUGGGCUGCUGUUUGUUGUGGCUUUUUGUUGUUGCUUGCUUUGCUUUUCCCUUAUUGGUAUUUUUUUGUUCAUAAUUACUAUUCAGCUGCUAGCAUCUCCACUCAAUCUAAAAGGUCAGUUUAUGGAGAUUGAGUUCCUAUUAUUCCCAAUUCAGCAACUUAGUUAAAAACUUAUUAGAUACUUAUUGAAGAAAGCAUUGCUCACUGGGAUGCUGAUCUGCAUUUGCUCUCUUAUUAAAGAUCAGUGUUAGGGAAGGCUGGAAGAACAUGAAGGACUUGUAAUUUAUCCACAGAAAAGCAGGACAUAGGAACAUCUACAUUUUCCAGUAGUUCUGGCAAAAUCUUCAAGGUCUGGCAGAUGUAGAAAGAGACACAAGGUGGAAGAAAAAAGUACUCUAAAUCUCAAAUGCACAUACUAUUACUCAGGCAUGAACCUGCUUCCUUACUGAAACUUUUCUGUCUUAGGGUGGAAACAAGAAUUGUCACAAUAGCUGGAUAAAAGAAUAAAAAAUGCUGAGGGAGCUGGGCUUGUUCAGCCUGGAGAAAAGAAGGCUGCAAGGUGACCUAAUUGCAGCCUUUCAGUACCUAAAGGGAGCCUACAAACAGGAGGGAAGUCAACUCUUUGAAAGGGUAGAUAACAGUAGAACAAGGGGAAAUGGUUUUAAGUUGAAGGAGAGAAGAUUUAGUUUGGAUGUGAGGGGGAAGUUCUUUACUAUGAGAGUGGUGAGGUGCUGGAACAGGCUGCUCAGAGAGGUUGUGGAUGCCCUGUCCCUGGAGGUGUUCAAGACCAGGUUUGAUGGGGCCCUGGGCAGCCUGGUCUAGUAGUUAGUGCGGAGGUUGGUGGCCCUGCCUGUGGCGGGGGGUUGGAGUUUGAUGAUCCUUGAGGUCCCUUCCAACCUGGACCAUUCAUUGAAAAAUGUCUUCACUCCCAAAGCACAAAUAUUCUGCAGAAAAAUAGUUUACAUUCACUGAGGGUGAGAUGAACUGAAUCUCACGUCUUUCUCUAAAUAUUCUCAGAUAAGGCAUAACCACAACAGAUUGAAACAUCAGUUCCUCAACAAGAGUUACCACUCCUAAUCAGCGCUGUUGAUGACUUGCAGUGGCUUCUCCUAACCUCAUUAGAACCACACAGAGACGAACCUAACCUCCUAAUAAUACUCUUUUUCUUUCCCCCUUCAGUUUUAUCUGUAAAGAAGUGCAAGGUGAGGUUUAUGAUUUUGGAACUGAGCUUCUGGAUGAAGCAGAUGUUGACCGGUUCUUGUGGCUCUUUUGCACCCACAGUUCGAGAAGGAAACAGUUCAGAAUACCUCUUUGCUGGAAAUAAUGAUCACUGAAUGUAGCCUGUCUGCACUACAGCGAUAUGAGAAAAACUUUUAAAAGCAGUUAAUGCUUUAGGGAUUAAAUGCUUGCAAGCUGACUGAAUUGUCCACAUGACAAGUUUUCAUGACAACACACAGGACAAAACAAAUGAGGCUGAUGGGGCACUUAAAACGUGCUGCUCCAGCUCAGAGUACUCAGGCUAGCUAACACAGCUUUCAAAUGCAUAAUAUAUGCCAUUUAGGCAUUAUAAGGCUUAAAUUAUAGGAGUAUUCCAAACCACAAGCAGUUUGCUCAGCUUCUUGGUUAAUGCACUUUUACAGUUCUGACAGACACUUUGGAAUACGUAUCCCAAAGCAAUGCAUAAUCGGAGAUAGGCACUAGGUGGCGUGGAAGAGCUAGUUUGCAGGAAAAUACGUUUGUGCAGUUCUUAGAUUGACCAAUAUUCUUUUGCCACAGCUCAUGUUGCAGUGAGAGUCGUUCAUAAUAAUUGAUCUGGUUCUCUAGAUUUGAUCAGAUACAAAUGUAAAAACUAAAUCAAAGUAAGUGUUUAUUGAGGUAAUCUUCUCAACUGUUUUUUUUUUCUCCCUCUUUCUGAAGUUACAAAUAUCUUCCCAUAAGAAAAAAGACUAUUUUCACUUCCCCCCCCCCCCCUUUCUUUUCAUUUUUGAAGUACUUCCUUAACCCAGCCUUGUACAUUCUGAAAUGCUGGGGUGUUCUUCCAAAGGAGUGUGUUUAAUCUUAGCCUGUAUUUCUGUGGAUUAUUUCUGUG
ensembl:lncRNA